GGGAGCCAGCUGUGCCGGUUGAGUCCGUACCGGCCUGUCACGCCGGAGGUCGCGGGUUCGAGUCCCGUCGCUCCCG
rnacentral:tRNA from 1 species